rnacentral:lncRNA from 1 species
ACUGAGGCAGCACACAGUUGGAGAGGAAGCUUUGGGAUUCACUUGGAUGUUCUUCUUCUCUCUCUUUUACUUUGAAUGGCCCUUUUGUGCUUUUGGGAGAUUUUUCUUGUAAUCUCUUUGAAAUCUCUUUCCUAAAUGUUCUCUCCCACUUCCAUCCCUUCUUCCCUAGCUCUCCUCUUGAUUUUAUAGCUUUAGAGGGAGUGGAAACAAAAAUCUAGUCGUUAGAGACAAAAAUAGAGCCGUUGGAAUCAAG